UUUAGAUGCGACCGGCGCACGGGUGAGUAACACGUAUCCAACCUGCCGAUGACUCGGGGAUAGCCUUUCGAAAGAAAGAUUAAUACCCGAUGGCAUAGUUCUUCCGCAUGGUAGAACUAUUAAAGAAUUUCGGUCAUCGAUGGGGAUGCGUUCCAUUAGGUUGUUGGUGAGGUAACGGCUCACCAAGCCUUCGAUGGAUAGGGGUUCUGAGAGGAAGGUCCCCCACAUUGGAACUGAGACACGGUCCAAACUCCUACGGGAGGCAGCAUG
rnacentral:rRNA from 1 species